AUUUCAUUUUCUUUUCGACAUGUUUCCGGAAAGAUUUUAAUCGUUUAUAAUUGCAGGAAUGAUAAGAAAAAUACUAAAAAUAGAUCCCACCAAAAUAUCUUGUUGGUUAUAUAAGGGAAGAUGUCUACAGAUCGCCAUGGAGGAGUGAAGCGACCGUGAAAGUCUCCGUUCGGUCAAUAUGAGGACACCGACUACGGGAGUGAGUCACUCCACCCCGAUCCGGUCGGAACCAGUUCAGUCCGGUAUGUCCCGGCGCGUGCAGUCUUUGUUUCCGGGGUUAGACUGCAGGCUGUGCUUCCAGCUUUUAUCCUUUGUUCGAGAUAUUCGCACACCUUUACUUUUUCGGUCAUUUAUUUUUUUGGUAAAAUAUAUAGUUUGUUAUUCCACAUCCGGUAUGCUUAUUUAAAUACACAUAAAUAUGUAUAAUUCUAAUAUAGGUUUAUCCUACAUUAUUUUUUGAACAGUAGAGAUCUUGUAAAAUUCCC
rnacentral:lncRNA from 1 species